UUAUGACAAGGCAAAGAGGAGGGCCAAGAAGGCGGAAUGCGAGUCGGCUGUGGACACCACGGAGCUGUCGGCGAUGCUGCUGCGGGUGCAGCUGGAGGUGCGGCAGCAGAACAGGGACGUCUUGCAUGAGCUGCAGCAGCUGAGGCAUGAAGUACGGGUCGUGUCUGAGAGGCUGGAUGAAACAGCCUCUCGACAAGACCCGUGCAGUGUCUCAGCCUGCCUUGUCGACGGUGCCUCCAGUUCUUCCUCGGCUACCUGCCGGCAAUAUUAAAGAAGUAGAGGCAGCCGUGCGGGAUGAGGCUGUGGCUGCCACCUUGAUGUCAUCUGUGCGAAAGGGGGGGGGGCGACCUGACAGAAGCACAGGACUUCAUUAAGAGGUGGUUGCCAGGGUCUGUGGAUAGGGGUGGUGGCAGGAAGAGGCGUUUCGAAGAAACGCUUGCAGCAGAGAAGCCCGAUGAUCCCUCCCUUUGGGGCAGGAAUCAUUGCCAGCCCACUGCUGCCCUCUCCCUGCCCCACCCUAGCCCUCAGGUCCCUGGCCAUUCCACUGUCGGCCCCUCCUGUCCGGCUGCUGCUGCCCCUGCUCCUUCCCCUGCUGCAGUCCCUGCUCCUGCAGUCCCUGCCGCCCCUGCCCCUCCUCCUGCUGCUACCCCUGGAGCUCAGCACCCCUACUGAUGGCUGCAUCAGUUCAAGAAUUGUAUUCUAAAUAGUAUUCUAAAUAAAUUAUAUUUUCGUUUAUGCUUUGCGUGUGUCUGCAGGAAGUUUCCUUCCCGCACUUAUUUCCAUCACGUUUCCUUCGCUACU